CGCGGUGGAACAGAUGAGCCAUGGGGCCUGAGGGGAAAAGUUAAAUAGGUGAAUUGACAGGUGGGAAGUGUGUGUGGGAUAAAUUAAACAGGUAAAUUGACAGGUGGGAAGUGUGUGUGGGAUAAAUUAAACAGGUAAAUUGACAGGUGGAAAGUGUGUGUGGGAUAAAUUAAACAGGUAAAUUGACAGGUGGGAAGUGUGUGUGGGAUAAAUUAAACAGGUAAAUUGACAGGUGGAAAGUGUGUGUGGGAUAAAUUAAACAGGUAAAUUGACAGGUGGAAAGUGUGCGUGGGAUAAAUUAAACAGGUAAAUUGACAGGUGGAAAGUGUGUGUGGGAUAAAUUAAACAGGUAAAUUGACAGGUGGAAAGUGUGUGUGGGAUAAAUUAAACAGGUAAAUUGACAGGUGGAAAGUGUGUGUGGGAUAAAUUAAACAGGUAAAUUGACAGGUGGAAAGUGGUGACGGUGGUGACAGGUAUGUAGGGGUUUGACAGCAGGUACAUAUAUAGGUAAUGGUGUACUGAAGAGCUAUCUCAUAUACCACUAAGGAGAAUGGCUGGAUUAGACACCGUACUUACAAUACAGAGGAAGAUUAGACAAGCUUGAUUGGGAAUUUUUUAAAAGGGCAUAGACUGGGUGGUGAUCUUACUGAAGUGUCUGAAUGGGCUCAAGGAAUCAUUAAUAAAGGUGAUGUUGAUUAAGUACUUACACUGACAGAAAUAUGUUAGAAACCCCAGUAAAAGGUACAAGGUGGAUAAGUUUAGGUUCAGGGAGGAGAGGAAUAAGCUGAUCCAUAAACAGGGUAUUGAAUGAAUGAAACAAAUAAAGCAGAUGUGUAGCCUAGUUAAAACAUAUAUGGUUCAGUUUCAAAUGGAGGUUAGACAGGUGUAUGGAUGGGAAGGGUGGGAAGGAAAGAACCAUAUAUGUUUUAACUCAGGAGCUGUGUGUGUGCUGACUGGCCUCUUGUGUCUGUGCUCAUCCUUAUGUAUGAGGUGACAGCUGGUGAUGGUGAGAUGUGUCCAAGUGGGAAGAAUCUGGUAUUUUUUUUAGGAUCUAGGAAAAUGGACCAAUCUAAAAACAAAUAAAAUGGUUGAUAUAUACAGUACAAUUUUCUUACAUCUUUGUCUUGUGCUUCAGUCUGUGUGUCUGCAUAUCUGCCUGUCUGUCUGCCUAUCUGUCUGUCCUGA